UGUUGAUGUCCUGGAAAGCCAAAGUGGACCUGGCGGGUUACAUGAAAAUACACUGCUUCUUGUGAUGGGUGAUCAUGGGCAAACCAUCAACGGUGAUCAUGGUGGAGGUGCUCCAGAAGAGGUUGAAACAUCGCUAUUUGCUAUGAGUUUGCAAAAGAAUCCGUCUUCCUUACCGUCUGAAACUGAUAGCUCAUCUUGUCGACUUGACAUGGAGAAGAGAAAGAUAUGUACUAGCUCCAUUGAGCAGCUUGACUUUGCUGCAACAGUAUCUGCUCUGCUUGGCAUUCCUUAUCCUUUUGGAAGCAUCGGGCGUGUUAAUCCUGAACUGUAUGCAUUAGCUGCUGGUACUUGGAACUUGGACAUCUUUACCCCUGAAGGUGGAAUAAAUCUCUCAGGAUCAGA
rnacentral:misc_RNA from 1 species